rnacentral:rRNA from 1 species
UGGAGAGUUUGAUCCUGGCUCAGGACGAACGCUGGCGGCGUGCUUAACACAUGCAAGUCGAACGGAAAGGUCUCUUCGGAGAUACUCGAGUGGCGAACGGGUGAGUAACACGUGGGUAAUCUGCCCUGCACUUCGGGAUAAGCCUGGGAAACUGGGUCUAAUACCGAAUAGGACCCCGAGGCGCAUGCCUUGGGGUGGAAAGCUUUUGCGGUGUGGGAUGGGCCCGCGGCCUAUCAGCUUGUUGGUGGGGUGACGGCCUACCAAGGCGACGACGGGUAGCCGGCCUGAGAGGGUGUCCGGCCACACUGGGACUGAGAUACGGCCCAGACUCCUACGGGAGGCAGCAGUGGGGAAUAUUGCACAAUGGGCGCAAGCCUGAUGCAGCGACGCCGCGUGGGGGAUGACGGCCUUCGGGUUGUAAACCUCUUUCACCAUCGACGAAGGUCCGGGUUUUCUCGGAUUGACGGUAGGUGGAGAAGAAGCACCGGCCAACUACGUGCCAGCAGCCCCGGUA